CGCCCGAGGCGGACCAGGCUGGCUGCGCAGGGCCGCCGCCCCGCGCCGUCGGCUCGGCUCCCGCCCGGCGCAAGGGCAAACGAGCCACACGGGUGUUGGUGCCAGAAGAAAAGAAUGAUUGAUGGGAAACAGACACCGGGCUAUAGACACUCAUCCUUUUGCUUCAGACACUGAUAUCUCAGCCUGCCUGAGCAUCCCUUGUGAGCUGUGAACAUUGAGGAUCACUCAGGGUUAUCGGAUGUACAACGGGAGAGCCAUCACUUUGCUAAAUUAUUAUCUGCAGUUGGACAUCUUUUACAAAAACCAAACUAGACCUGAGUCUAAUAGAUAUGUUCUAAGACAAAGAAAAAGCUGCAAGUUGUUAACGCCUAACACACAAGUAUGUUAGGCUUCCACCAAAGUCCUCAAUAUACCUGAAUACGCACAAUAUCUUAACUCUUCAUAUUUGGUUUUGGGAUCUGCUUUGAGGUCCCAUCUUCAUUUAAAAAAAAAUUACACAGACCUACCUACCCAUACGCAUACAUACAUAUGUGUAUAUAUAUGUAAACUAGACAAAGAUCGCAGAUCAUAAAGCAAGCUCUGCUUUAGCUUCCAAGAAGAUUACAAAGAAUUUAGAGAUGUAUUUGUCAAGAUUCCUGUCGAUUCAUGCCCUUUGGGUUACGGUGUCCUCAGUGAUGCAGCCCUACCCUUUGGUUUGGGGACAUUAUGAUCUGUGUAAGACUCAGAUUUACACGGAAGAAGGGAAAGUUUGGGAUUACAUGGCCUGCCAGCCGGAAUCCACGGACAUGACAAAAUAUCUGAAAGUGAAACUCGAUCCUCCGGAUAUUACCU
rnacentral:sRNA from 1 species